rnacentral:rRNA from 1 species
GAUGAACGCUGGCGGCGUGCCUAAUACAUGCAAGACGAGCGAACAGAUGAGGAGCUUGCUCCUCUGACGUUAGCGGCGGACGGGUGAGUAACACGUGGAUAACCUACCUAUAAGACUGGGAUAACUUCGGGAAACCGGAGCUAAUACCGGAUAAUAUAUUGAACCGCAUGGUUCAAUAGUGAAAGACGGUUUUGCUGUCACUUAUAGAUGGAUCCGCGCCGCAUUAGCUAGUUGGUAAGGUAACGGCUUACCAAGGCAACGAUGCGUAGCCGACCUGAGAGGGUGAUCGGCCACACUGGAACUGAGACACGGUCCAGACUCCUAAGGGAGGCAGCAGUAGGGAAUCUUCCGCAAUGGGCGAAAGCCUGACGGAGCAACGCCGCGUGAGUGAUGAAGGUCUUCGGAUCGUAAAACUCUGUUAUUAGGGAAGAACAAAUGUGUAAGUAACUAUGCACGUCUUGACGGUACCUAAUCAGAAAGCCACGGCUAACUACGUG